rnacentral:tRNA from 1 species
GGAGAGUUGGGUGAGCGGUUGAAACCAGCAGUUUGCUAAAUUGCCGUAGCUUUACGGCUACCGAGAGUUCGAAUCUCUCACUCUCCGCCA